GCGGCGGGAAAGAAGAAGACGCAUGCGCACAUGCGACAACCGGCCCAAGUCCAGCGCGGCAGCAGAGCGAGCGAGCGAGAGGGCGGCGGCGGAGGCGCGCGGCCGUGGGACGGUGAUGAGAAACCGCGUAGAGCGGGGAGGGGUAGCGCUCCGGCUCCCGGCUUCUCCCCGUGGCGCCGCACGCUCCAUGGGCGCCGCCGGGCGCCGGUGCCACACGGCCCGAACCUCGCGCCCCGCCAUGCGACUCCGCUGAUCAUCCCGCCGUCCUCCCACGACGGAAUCAAGUGUGAGAAUAUUUGGUAAUAAAGAGGACAUCUGGCUUGCACAACUCCAUGAGUCACUAUCAUAAAUAUCUUCGAGCUUCUCCGACAUGGAUUUUUGGCUUUCUCUGAUCCGAUCAAAAUGGAUUAGUGAAAGCGUAGUCUUUGAGACAGUUUUUAUGUGAUUUGAUUGGAUCAGGAAGUUUAAUACAGUACAUCAGUGUGACCACAUUGUGAAUGAAUUCUCGUUCUCUUGAAAGAAACAAAUGUAGCAGCAUUUUUUUAAUAGAGGUGCAUCAGCAUUCCGGUAACAGCUUAAGGAAAUUUUCUUUCAGAAAACUAAAAGAAAUAGCCCCGUUUCUAUGAGUCCAGUUACUGUUUGUGACGGAAGCAAUAUGUUUUCCAAAUCUUGAGUUGUCUCUGUCUUUGCUGAUCAAUGUACUACGCAAACACAAUUGUUGCCUGACUCGACUUUCAUGUGCUAUUUCUUGCAUGCAGGUGGGUCAAAUUAUCAAUAAUUUACAGGAAUUUUGAGACAAGGCAGGGGCAUCUUGCAAGCCUUACAUGAAUGUUUUCUUACAAUGAUUGGCCUGCUGAACGACACUCAACAGGACCAAUGGAACUGAUGGACAAGAAGGGCUAAAUGAAGAUAGCUCAUGAUCGGAUGGACGAUGCAUCGUGUCUGAACUGUGGCUGCUCGUUACUCUUAUGGAGACUCAACCACCACCCUUCAAUUUGUUUCUGCAGUAUGUCAGGUCAGAAUCAUCUGGACCUUUUCUUUUUUUUAAAAAAAAAGUGAAGUCUGAACUUCCAUUGGUAGGACAUCAGCCUUUCCCAUUUUUUUCCUGGGCUGAUGUGCUAUUAUGCAACACAUUAGCAUUGGAGAAUCCAAAUUGACGAACAUUCCGCAAGCUUUAGAUGAGUGAGGAAGGAUGGAAGGUAUAUUCCCUGUUCUGGUUACUACUGGGAAUGAGCGAUGAGUUCGUUACGCAAGGAGUAUAUUUUGAUCCACAAUUCCACAUGAAGGUUCCUUACAAUCUAUUGAGAAGUUCUUUUUUUCUCAUGCCUGGACCUUCUCUAUAUGUUUAAAUAAGUUGCAGCCUUAAGCCUUUUUGAUUGUCAUUGUCGAGGAAAUACUUUGUCUAAUUUCACUUUGCUUUCUUUGUUCCCAAAUGUGACAGGAACUUGCUAUGGCAACAAUUGAAUCUAAAUGGAUGAUUUUUUUUUUCAAACAAAAGGGACAGCAAUUCUAUAGUGAGCUACAGUUCUAUAAUGUAUAUCCUUGGUGCUAUACGAUUGUCUUUGAAGAGGCGCAUGGAUUUUUGAAUAAAACCUUGACUAUAACCGGUUCAAGUUCUUUUUUUUCCUGUGCCAUUGUGCAGUGUUAGUGCGCGCAGGAUAGCAAUGCAGGAGCUUCGACCAAGACAUAAUAAACAAUAUAUUGGAGGACGAGACAAAAGCAUAAGCAAAUUCGAAACACGACAAGCGAGGUAGGCUGUGCAUGGGUAUUUUUGAAAGGGAGAACAACGCUAAAAAAAGGGUCUUAUUAGCAAGCAUCAUUAGGCAUUUUGGCAAUAUGCACGCAAAAUCCUGCAGGAGUUAGCUGGAAUGCAACAUCAGAACAGUAUCUCAGAAUCAUAUCUAUAUCGAUAUUUUGCAGGCCCUGUACAUUGAAUCAGUAUUGCAUUCUAUCUGCAAAUACAUUUUGUUUUGACCUGCAAAGUCUAGUUC